AGUGUUAUCCGGAAUUACUGGGCGUAAAGCGUCUGUAGGUGGUUUAGUAAGUCGAUUGUUAAAUCUUGGGGCUUAACUCCAAAACAGCAAUGGAAACUGCUAGACUUGAGUAUGGUAGAGGUAAAAGGAAUUUCCAGUGGAGCGGUGAAAUGCGUAGAUAUUGGAAAGAACACCGAUGGCGAAGGCAUUUUACUGGGCCAUAACUGACACUCAGAGACGAAAGCUAGGGUAGCAAAUGGGAUUAGAUACCCCAGUAGUCCUAGCUGUAAACGAUGGAUACUAGAUGUUGCACGUAUCAACCCGUGCAGUGUCAUAGCUAACGCGUUAAGUAUCCCGCCUGGGAAGUAUGCGCGCAAGCGUGAAACUCAAAGGAAUUGACGGGGGCCCGCACAAGCGGUGGAGCAUGUGGUUUAAUUUGAUGCAACGCGAAGAACCUUACCAGGGUUUGACAUGACAGGAAUUUUUCUGAGAAGAAAAAGUGCCUUUUUAAGGAACCUGUACACAGGUGGUGCAUGGCUGUCGUCGGCUCGUGUCGUGAGAUGUUGGGUUAAGUCCCGCAACGAGCGCAACCCUUGUUUUUAGUUAUUUUUCUAGAAAGACUGCCGGUUAUAAGCCGGAGGAAGGCGGGGACGACGUCAAGUCAGCAUGCCCCUUACACCCUGGGCUACACACGUGCUACAUUGGAUAAGACAAUGAGUCGCGAACCUGUGAAGGUCGGCAAAUCUAUAAACUUAUUCUAAGUUCGGAUUGUAGGCUGCAACUC
rnacentral:rRNA from 1 species